rnacentral:pre_miRNA from 1 species
AGGGGAAUAGCUGGGUAAAAUGGUGGUUCCAUUCCAACUUUCCAAGGAAUCUCCAUUCUGCUUUCCAAAUUGGCCACACCAAUUUUCAGUCCCACCAGAAAU